GAGUAAUACGUGAGUAACCUGCCCUUGACUCUGGGAUAAGCCUGGGAAACUGGGUCUAAUACUGGAUACUACCGCUCACCGCAUGGUGGGUGGUGGAAAGGGUUUUACUGGUUUUGGAUGGGCUCACGGCCUAUCAGCUUGUUGGUGGGGUAAUGGCUCACCAAGGCGACGACGGGUAGCCGGCCUGAGAGGGUGACCGGCCACACUGGGACUGAGACACGGCCCAGACUCCUACGGGAGGCAGCAGUGGGGAAUAUUGCACAAUGGGCGGAAGCCUGAUGCAGCGACGCCGCGUGAGGGAUGACGGCCUUCGGGUUGUAAACCUCUUUCAGUAGGGAAGAAGCGAGAGUGACGGUACCUGCAGAAGAAGCGCCGGCUAACUACGUGCCAGCAGCCGCGGUAAUACGUAGGGCGCAAGCGUUGUCCGGAAUUAUUGGGCGUAAAGAGCUCGUAGGCGGUUUGUCGCGUCUGCUGUGAAAGCCCGGGGCUCAACCCCGGGUCUGCAGUGGGUACGGGCAGACUAGAGUGCAGUAGGGGAGACUGGAAUUCCUGGUGUAGCGGUGAAAUGCGCAGAUAUCAGGAGGAACACCGAUGGCGAAGGCAGGUCUCUGGGCUGUUACUGACGCUGAGGAGCGAAAGCAUGGGGAGCGAACAGGAUUAGAUACCCUGGUAGUCCAUGCCGUAAACGUUGGGCACUAGGUGUGGGGGACA
rnacentral:rRNA from 1 species